UGAGCUGUCAGAGUGACUUCCAGUUAUAAUCUCUGUAAUUUGACGUCCUUUGAUCACAAAUGAGUUUCUUAAUGGCAUCUUAGAGGGUCUGUGGAAAUCAUUCAUCGUGAUUACGUCAAAAUAGAGCUUAAACACCCGUCGCUUUUAUAGUAAAGAAAGGAGAGGAAUAUCUAAGAAAAGCGACAACUGACAGUUUACAGUUCAAUAUAUCAGGAAGAAAAGAUACACCUUAUUCACGAGAGAUGGGCGGAGGAUUUGUGCUCAUUUUGUAUGUAAACGAAUACCAAGAAAAGUCUAGAAGAAGGAAAAACAGACUUGUCAAGAAACGCGCAUUGCAAAUGGUCUUUUAAUUGGCUAAUUAAGAAGGACGAAAACAGAUAUUACAGUUCAAAAUCUCUGGAAGAGAAGUCACUUUAUUCAGACAAAAACACUAGUACAUCAGCAAGAGUCUUUACGAGCGAGCUCAAUCUUCAAUACAGAUAUGA